rnacentral:rRNA from 1 species
CGUGCCUACGGGGCGCAGCAGUCGGGAAUAUUGCGCAAUGGGGGAAACUCUGACGCAGUGACGCCGCGUAUAGGAAGAAGGUUUUCGGAUUGUAAACUAUUGUCGUGAGGGAAGAAGAUGACAGUACCUCAGGAGGAAGCUCCGGCUAACUACGUGCCAGCAGCCGCGGUAAUACGUAGGUGGCAAGCGUUGUCCGGAUUUAUUGGGCGUAAAGCGAGUGCAGGCGGUUCAAUAAGU